rnacentral:lncRNA from 1 species
CCACACCUACACUUGCUAGGCUGCACUGCACUCUGCUUAUUGCAAAAAAAUUUUGGUUGCAGAAUGGGUGAAGGUGAACCCAGCUGCUAAUUGGCCUUUUGUACUUUUAGAUGGCGAGAGAUUUUUGAGAGACAAAAGAGGCAAGCGUUGCUGUUGUCCAAUUGGGAUGUCACAGGGGGUUGAGAUGAGGAGGACAUGUGUUAGCAGGCCC